UUGGUUGGUUGGUUGGUUGGUUGGUUGGUUGGUUGGUUGGUUGAUUUUGUGCCUAUACCGGGGAUUGAAUUUAGGACUUCUUGCCUCUUUUCAAAUGCUGGAGAGCUACCGUCUGCAACAGAAAGUCACUUCUAAUGAUAAAGAAGAGCAAGCCAAGACCAAGGUGGACAGUCAACAGUUUGCUACAAGUACUGUCUGCCCAACUAACAGCCUGGGUCUCAUGUGAUUCAGGUUUGACAAGAACUCAGCAUAGAACCAAGGCUGGCAGAGAAUUCCUCAUCUUCCUCCUAAAAUUACAAGCUCUUACUCAGCAGCAAAAGCUGGAAGUCUCUGUGUAACAACGGUUGUUCUCAAAUGCAUUGACAAUUAUCCUGCUCCAACCUCUUCCUGGUGUUGGGAUCAAAAGCAUGAGCCUUUGUGUCCAGUGUAAAGAAUUAGUAUUGGAUGAAUGCAGAAUUUUAGUUUCUCAAGUCAGGGGAGAAGCAAACAUAACUCCAGAGCAAGUAUCAACGGAAACAUGUAAAUAUUGAAGUUUACCAAAAGAUGAAAUGUGAGUAACAUCCAUCUGCCACACUUGUAGCGGACGGAUUCCUCUGGGAUUAAUCCCAACAUGAGGCAUAGGUCACCCUUAAGCUUGUACGAAACCAAAAGAAAGAGGACGAGGGCAACGGUCACAACAGAGAAAGCAAUAAAGGCUUCUGCUAGCUGAAGUGAAAGAUGAGAUAAAUCAAGACCAAACAUGCCUCUCAGAACUUAUCUCGCUGCUGCAGUUGUGAAUCCUCCCCGAGAACGGGGGGGGGGGGGGUCUCCUCGGCACCGGCGAUGGCAGGCUCCCGGCGUCCCGGGUUUCGGCACCAAAUGUUGAGAGGCGCGUGGCCGUCUCGCCAGCAAGAACGCGUGUGGACAACAGGAUCCUUCUGCAGCAAGCUUUAUUGCAGUCAAACGAUGAUAGGAGGAAGACCCCGAGCCCCGAAGUGGCGCUGUUUAUAUAAGCCCUGCUCACACCAGAGUGGUGUGAGAUGACGUAUCAUCCCCUGAUUGGCUGCUCACCCAUCACCCCAUAUGACGCCCUGGGCUGGGCUCGUGACGAUGGUUGCCCAAUGGUCAUAACAGUCAUAACGGUCAUGUGCUCUAGGACUUGUUUACCAGUUUAGAAGGGCGGAAGCCACCGCAAUGGCAACCAAACCCUGGCUCUCCACAGGGAAAAAUCUCAGUGGCUUAAAUGUUACCCAGUUUUUUGUUUGUUUUGUUUUGUUUUUAACAGCCUGGUUCAUAUGACCCAGUGGCUCUGUUACUGAUAUUUCUGGUAAUUGUAUCCAUGCCAGUCAGAGGAGAAGUUCCUGGGCUUAUGCUUUUCAGUGACUUGGUCACAUCCUUUGACGACUGUGUGUACUAGUGAUUUUCUCUGUUUGCAGAGGGGCUUUUAUCUAACCGUCCAGAGUCCCAGUGGGUCCCAUCCAACUGUUGGGGGCAGGUUUUAGCCCUGUAGUUUAGGCAGGUUUUAAUAUGUCACACACGUGUGUGACAACAACUCCUGUAAUAAGAGCAAAUAUAAUUGGGGAUUCUUUAGGACCUGCCUCCUGGGUGCUUGGCCCCACAAUAAUAAAGUGGCUGUGACUCAGGAUUGUCAGCACAUCCUAGAAAAGCAAAAGGCUUGUGAUCAGAUUGAUUCCUCUGCUCUUGUUGCAAGAGCAUUCUUUGGUGACUUCGCAGCUUCAAUCCUGUUGAAAUAUCCUACUGUUUGUGUUGGGCACAGCAGCUGUCAUGCUCUUCCUUCUUAUCAUCAUCAUUAUAAUUUAGUGUCACCAUUGCAGCGAACCACCCCUGGACUAAGUGUGAAGCCUCAGGUUGAACAUCCAAAAAUAAGAAAGGUGGAGAUAUAAGGAGACUAUGAAACCCUGAGUGAAUGUGUGUUGUCAACACGGGCACAGCCAUGUCAAGGACUGUAGUCUCAGACUCAUAGAAAACUGGUAAAGCCCCACUUUGCCCCUGAAAUGAGGCUCAGAGUGAUGGCAAGGCCUUCCCUGGGGAAUUGAGUGUGAAUGUUGGGAAUGGGUGUGUGGAAAAUGUCCUCCAUAGUUUUCUCCUCCUGGGUGUUUAUAACCUGAUGUCUGCUCCUCUAGAGACUUUGCAUACUGAAUUUAAAUAGACAUACCUCCUUGUACAGCCGUGCACCCUAAAACCUGCUUUCUUAUUCAGUAUAUGUAGUAAACAUGCUGAGCUUCUGGAGUGAUUUGGCCUCUCCCGACUGUACCAUCCCAGUUUAUCUGUGUCUGUGUUUCUGUCAUUUCUUCACCAGCUCUAGUCAGGGUUCAGGACACAAGUUGUGCAAGGACAGGACUCUACAGGAAAAUGCAGUGCUUGGGAAGAGAGCAGCUUUGAACCUCAGGACAGAGCAGCUCUGGGGAGGGAUUCAGUGCCACCAGUAGGUAAGGAGUUCCUCUCCCCCUCAGGGCUCUUCACUUGGCAAAACUAUGCCUGGACUAGGAGACAGAGAAGAAUAUCAGGGUAAGCCAAAGGGAAAAAUAUGAGUGAGUUCUUAAGAAUGAGUACAUACUUUGGAUUUAAGGAGGGAGAAAAUGGUAGGUAAAGGGAAAGGAGAGAGAGAAAAGAUUAAGAAAAUUUAAUGCUCAUGAAAAACUUAGGUGUUUUUACAAUGAUUCUGUGGCUUUAUAUGUUCUUUUCUCUAAAGAAUAUAUUUUCCAUCUUACCCAAGGUCCUCCUUUUGCUUACCUUCUUUAGGUGUACAGAUUUUAGUAUGAUUAUCCUAUAUUAUGUCUAGUACCACUUAUAAGUGAAUAUAAACCACGUGUGUCUUUCUGCUUCUAGAAUAACUCACUCAGUAUGAUCUUUUCUAGUUCCCACCAUUUGCCUGCCAAUUUCACGAUUUUCUUGCUUUUAAUUACUGAGUAGUAUUCCAUUGUGUAAAUGUACUAUGAUUUCUGUAUCCAUUCCUCAAAUGAGGGGCUUCUGGGUUGUUUCUAGGGUUGGCUAUUAUGAAUAAAGCUACUAUGGACAUGAUACAGUAAUAUUUCAGCAGCCAUUGGGAAGAUACACCCUCGAUUAACAGCUUCUACCAACACAAGCUAUUUCUAAAAUGACCAUCUGUUUUCACCACCACUCCUUUCAUGAAGCAAAAGUCUUCGUUACUGCCCAAAAAAUAGGAUGAGGAACACAUUCUAGAAGAGGUCCUUGAAAACGAACAAGUAUACAACUUUUGCAACUAUUUGCAAAUAAUAGAGAAUAAUAGAGAAAGAGGACACAGAAACAGUGUGAUUCAGUCCUCAGUUCAGGCAGUCCAUUGACUUAUGACAGACCUACUUGGUCCUGCCACUUGGGAUGCUGAGGCAAGAAGAUCACAAAUUGAAGGCUUCAAGGCCUGCCCGAGCUAUACAUCCAGCUCAAGACUAGGAGGGAAACUUGCUGGGACCCUCUUUCAAUGGUAAAAAUCAGCAAAAGGAAGGCUGGCGAUAUUGCUCAGGCAGGGUGCAAUGCAGUGUUUGCCUGGCACACAUGAAGCCCUCAGUUUGAUAUACCACACCACAAAAUCAUAAAAUAAAAUAAAAAAUAAAGAAAACCAAACAACUACUGAAGGUUAAAAUGACAAAGUAAUUGGACAAAGUCUCACAAAGCUCUUACCUGUAUUUGCAUAGAAUACAUUCAUAAAAGAUCUUGUAGGUAAUUAUGUAGUUAUGGCAAUGGGUGAUA